ensembl:misc_RNA
UCAUAGUGACCCUGGGAGACAGGAUCCUGCACCCUAGAAUCAUCCUGCCGUUUUUAAUAACUUUUGCUCAGCCUUUGGAUUUAGUCAUCUCAAAGACCAUGGCUUUCUGGCUAUUUUUCAUUUAGAGUUGCUGAUUGUCACAAUACAUCUUCCUUGUUUUAGGCGAA